CAGUAUUGCUAAUGCUAAAAAAACAGGAGUGGAUACAAAACACAGAAUAUUUGCAUGUCUUCUGUGUUUUUUACCCACUCCUGCUUUU